CACAAGAAGUAGUAGGAUAAGUUUGAUCUUUAUAGAUAUGAUAGCAUAAUUUAAAAUGUGGAACUAUCUAUAUCCUUUUCUAUGAUUUAUCAUAAUAAGAAUCCAUAUAUGCAGCCUGUUUACCUAAUUUCACCCAACAAUACUCAAGAAAAUUUAGCAAAAUCCAAAAGCAAUUCCUCAACCACUAACUAUAACAUAUUAUGACUUCUUCAUAACUAACUUCAAAAUGCCCCUUCUCAUCUCUUUCCUAAAUAAAAUCAGAGUUACUUAUUUAUUACUUUGCGGCUGAUCUGAGAUGCCGACACAGACCACCUUUGUGGAACUGCAAGGCAAGAGGCAAGGGUUAGAAAACUCAUCAGAUUGGCUCCGGUCGAGCCCUUUGAUGCUUAAGUCAGAGAAUUUUUGGUGGAAAGUAAGGAAGAAAAAUGAAAAAUCAAUGAGGUAGAAUGCCGCUCCAUUAAAGAGAAUUUUUGAUUGCCUUUCUUAAAGGGGCUUCAGG
rnacentral:lncRNA from 1 species